UACGAAGGGGGCUAGCGUUGCUCGGAAUCACUGGGCGUAAAGCGCACGUAGGCGGCUUGUUAAGUCAGGGGUGAAAUCCUGGAGCUCAACUCCAGAACUGCCUUUGAUACUGGCGAGCUUGAGUUCGGGAGAGGUGAGUGGAACUGCGAGUGUAGAGGUGAAAUUCGUAGAUAUUCGCAAGAACACCAGUGGCGAAGGCGGCUCACUGGCCCGAUACUGACGCUGAGGCACGAAAGCGUGGGGAGCAACAGGG
rnacentral:rRNA from 1 species